AGCGAACGCUGGCGGCAGGCUUAACACAUGCAAGUCGAACGGGCGUAGCAAUACGUCAGUGGCAGACGGGUGAGUAACGCGUGGGAACGUACCUUUUGGUUCGGAACAACCCAGGGAAACUUGGGCUAAAUACCGGAUAAGCCCUUACGGGGAAAGAUUUAUCGCCGAAAGAUCGGCCCGCGUCUGAUUAGCUAGUUGGUGUGGUAACGGCGCACCAAGGCGACGAUCAGUAGCUGGUCUGAGAGGAUGAUCAGCCGACAUUGGGACUGAGACAC
rnacentral:rRNA from 1 species